GGGGAGGCAAGGCUCCGUCCCCACUGGCCCCGCCCCUACGUACCUGCGCUUCCGGCCUCGUCCCAACGUCGCCUCUCGUUGGCCGCGGCGUAGCGCACUCACCUUACUCUGUACUGGAUGUUCCGCCCGCGCGUGCGCAGUAUCCUGCAGACCCGGAAUUGAGUUUAAAUGAGCGACAGAGAGGUCUGAAUCCCUGCUGUGUCCGUGGCCGUAGAGGAUUGUGUUUUGUGCCUGUUGAGAUCCUCCCUUUGUGUGGAGCUGUGUUACAGGGAGCUCGGUGCGUUUUUCUAAGUAUUGAACAGCCUAUUUUCAACAUUCAGGGGUUCCCAAGACUGAUGUUACCUGAGAAGGAAUCCCAGAGGAAGAGGAAAGCAAGGAGUCAGAAAUGACUCGUUCCAAGGUAAGAGGCACAGUCCGUGUUUGUUCUGUCUCUCUUUUCUGAAAUGCUGCUUCU
rnacentral:lncRNA from 1 species